rnacentral:rRNA from 1 species
CCUACGGGGGGCAGCAGUGAGGAAUAUUGGUCAAUGGGCGAGAGCCUGAACCAGCCAAGUCGCGUGAAGGAAGAAUGUCCUAUGGAUUGUAAACUUCUUUUGUAGGGGGAUAAAAAAGAGUACGUGUACUCUCUUGUAGGUACCCUACGAAUAAGGAUCGGCUAACUCCGUGCCAGCAGCCGCGGUAAUACGGAGGAUCCAAGCGUUAUCCGGAUUUAUUGGGUUUAAAGGGUGCGUAGGCGGGCUGUUAAGUCAGUGGUGAAAGGUUGACGCUCAACGUUAACAUUGCCAUUGAAACUGGCGGUCUUGAGUGCAAAUGAGGCAGGCGGAAUGUGUUGUGUAGCGGUGAAAUGCAUAGAUAUGACACAGAACACCGAUUGCGAAGGCAGCUUGCUGGAAUGUAACUGACGCUGAGGCACGAAAGCGUGGGGAUCAAACAGGAUUAGAUACCCCGGUAGUC